rnacentral:rRNA from 1 species
UACGAAGGGGGCUAGCGUUGCUCGGAAUUACUGGGCGUAAAGGGCGCGUAGGCGGCACUGUUAGUCAGGCGUGAAAUUCCUGGGCUCAACCUGGGGACUGCGCUUGAUACGGCAGAGCUUGAGGAUGGAAGAGGGUCGCGGAAUUCCCAGUGUAGAGGUGAAAUUCGUAGAUAUUGGGAAGAACACCGGUGGCGAAGGCGGCGACCUGGUCCAUUACUGACGCUGAGGCGCGACAGCGUGGGGAGCAGACAGG